rnacentral:rRNA from 1 species
GCCUAACACAUGCAAGUCGAGCGGAAACGAGUUAUCUGAACCUUCGGGGGACGAUAACGGCGUCGAGCGGCGGACGGGUGAGUAAUGCCUAGGAAAUUGCCCUGAUGUGGGGGAUAACCAUUGGAAACGAUGGCUAAUACCGCAUAAUGCCUACGGGCCAAAAGAGGGGGACUCUUCGGGCCUCUCGCGUCAGGAUAUGCCUAGGUGGGAUUAGCUAGUUGGUGAGGUAAUGGCUCACCAAGGCGACGAUCCCUAGCUGGUCUGAGAGGAUGAUCAGCCACACUGGAACUGAGACACGGUCUCAGACUCCUACGGGAGGCAGCAGUGGGGAAUAUUGCACAAUGGGCGCAAGCUCUGAUGCAGCCCAUGCCGCGUGUGUGAAGAAGGCCUUCGGGUUGUAAAGCACUUUCAGUCGUGAGGAAGGUAGUGUAGUUAAUAGCUGCAUUAUUUGACGUUAGCGACAGAAGAAGCACCGGCUAACUCCGUGCCAGCAGCCGCGGUAAUACGGAGGGUGCGAGCGUUAAUCGGAAUUACUGGGCGUAAAGCGCAUGCAGGUGGUUUGUUAAGUCAGAUGUGAAAGCCCGGGGCUCAACCUCGGAAUAGCAUUUGAAACUGGCAGACUAGAGUACUGUAGAGGGGGGUAGAAUUUCAGGUGUAGCGGUGAAAUGCGUAGAGAUCUGAAGGAAUACCGGUGGCGAAGGCGGCCCCCUGGACAGAUACUGACACUCAGAUGCGAAAGCGUGGGGAGCAAACAGGAUUAGAUACCCUGGUAGUCCACGCCGUAAACGAUGUCUACUUGGAGGUUGUGGCCUUGAGCCGUGGCUUUCGGAGCUAACGCGUUAAGUAGACCGCCUGGGGAGUACGGUCGCAAGAUUAAAACUCAAAUGAAUUGACGGGGGCCCGCACAAGCGGUGGAGCAUGUGGUUUAAUUCGAUGCAACGCGAAGAACCUUACCUACUCUUGACAUCCAGAGAACUUUUCAGAGAUGGAUUGGUGCCUUCGGGAACUCUGAGACAGGUGCUGCAUGGCUGUCGUCAGCUCGUGUUGUGAAAUGUUGGGUUAAGUCCCGCAACGAGCGCAACCCUUAUCCUUGUUUGCCAGCGAGUAAUGUCGGGAACUCCAGGGAGACUGCCGGUGAUAAACCGGAGGAAGGUGGGGACGACGUCAAGUCAUCAUGGCCCUUACGAGUAGGGCUACACACGUGCUACAAUGGCGCAUACAGAGGGCAGCAAGCUAGCGAUAGUGAGCGAAUCCCAAAAAGUGCGUCGUAGUCCGGAUUGGAGUCUGCAACUCGACUCCAUGAAGUCGGAAUCGCUAGUAAUCGUGGAUCAGAAUGCCACGGUGAAUACGUUCCCCGGGCCUUGUACACACCGCCCGUCACACCAUGGGAGUGGGCUGCAAAAGAAGUAGGUAGUUUAACCUUCGGGAGGACGCU